ACACCUUCUCGGCUUUUUGGCUAGGAUCAUGUGUAGUUUCUGUUCUAAUCGUUUGAACACUGAUUGACGUUCAAUGAGUGCCAUUUUCACACCUACCUACUACCUGUUUUUGAAAUCGCCGGGUUCGCACUGCUUGCAGUGUUCCAGCAGGAUUUCCUCGGCAUUCCACAUCCAAUUUGAUGGCCACCGCCG
rnacentral:snRNA from 1 species